rnacentral:rRNA from 1 species
GACGAACGCUGGCGGCGUGCUUAACACAUGCAAGUCGAACGAUGAAGGAGAGCUUGCUCUCCGGAUUAGUGGCGAACGGGUGAGUAACACGUGACUAACCUGCCCCUUUCUCUGGGAUAACGCUCCGAAAGGAGUGCUAAUACCGGAUACGAACUCUGAACACAUGUUCGGAGUUGGAAAGUUUGUCGGAAAGGGAGGGGGUCGCGGCCUAUCAGCUUGUUGGUGAGGUAACGACUCACCAAGGCGACGACGGGCAGCCGGCCUGAGAGGGCGGCCGGACACACGGGGACUGGGAGACGGCUCAGACUCCUACGGGAGGCAGCAGUGUGGAAUAUUGCACAGUGGGGGGAAGCCUGAUGCAGCGACGCCGCGUGAGGGAUGAAGGUCUUCGGAUUGUACACCUCUUUCAGUAGGGACGAAGCGAAAGUGACGGUACCUAAAGAAGAAGCACCGGCUAACUACGUGCCAGCCGCCGCCGUAA